CCCCCGCCCCUGCAUGCAGAACGCUAUUCGUUCUGCAUGCAGAGAAGGAAAUAAAGAAACGCCAGCAGAGGAGAGGGAGAAGGGUUACCUGGCGCGGAGGAGGCAGCGGCUUGCUGCGUUUCUGGCGGCGCUGUGGCGGAGGCGUAGCCCACGGACGGCGGUUCCAGGCGGCGCUGCAGCUGUUCCGGACGUCCGUUUUCCUUUUUUUCUAUGUUUCGGUCUUCUCUUUUUCUUCCCCUCCCUCUCUUCUCUCAGUCUGUUUUUCUUUCCUCUGUUUUUUUCUCUGUUUUUCUCUCCUCUCGGUUUCUCUCUUCUGUC
rnacentral:lncRNA from 1 species